CCUACGGGUGGCAGCAGUGAGGAAUAUUGCACAAUGGGGGAAAGCCUGAUGCAGCGAAGCCGCGUGAGUGAAGAAGUAUUUCGGUAUGUAAAGCUCUAUCAGCAGGGAAGAAAGUGACGGUAGCUGAGUAAGAAGCCCCGGCUAACUACGAUCCAGCAGGCGCGGUAAUACGUAGGGGGCAAGCGUUAUCCGGAUUUACUGGGUGUAAAGGGAGCGUAGACGGCAGCACAAGUCUGGAGUGAAAUGCCGGGGCUUAACCCCGGAACUGCGUUGGAAACUGUGCAGCUAGAGUGCAGGAGAGGUAAGCGGAAUGCCUGGUGUAGCGGUGAAAUGCGUAGAUAUUAGGAGGAACACCAGUGGCGAAGGCGGCUUACUGGACUGUAACUGACGUUGAGGCUCGAAAGCGUGGGGAGCAAACAGGAUUAGAUACCCUUGUAGUC
rnacentral:rRNA from 1 species